rnacentral:rRNA from 1 species
GUGGGGAAUAUUCCGCAAUGGACGAAAGUCUGACGGAGCAACGCCGCGUGAGUGAUGAAGGUUUUCGGACUGUAAAGCUCUGUUGUUUAGGACGAAAGUGCCUGUUGCGAAUAGUUACAGGUAUUGACGGUACUGAACGAGGAAGCCACGGCUAACUACGUGCCAGCAGCCGCGGUAAUACGUAGGUGGCAAGCGUUGUCCGGAAUUAUUGGGCGUAAAGAGCAUGUAGGCGGGAAUCUAAGUCUGUUGUGAAAAUGCGGGGCUCAACCCCGUAUUGCGAUGGAAACUGGGUUUCUUGAGUGCAGGAGAGGAAAGGGGAAUUCCCAGUGUAGCGGUGAAAUGCGUAGAUAUUGGGAGGAACACCAGUGGCGAAGGCGCCUUUCUGGACUGUGUCUGACGCUGAGAUGCGAAAGCCAGGGUAGCGAACGGGAUUAGAAACCCGGGUAGUCC